CCUACGGGUGGCAGCAGUGGGGGAUAUUGCACAAUGGGGGGAACCCUGAUGCAGCGACGCCGCGUGUGGGAAGACGGUCCUCUGGAUUGUAAACCACUGUCCCCAGGGACGAAAAUGACGGUACCGGGGGAGGAAGCGCCGGCUAACUACGUGCCAGCAGCCGCGGUAAUACGUCGGGAGCGAGCGUUGUCCGGAAUUACUGGGUGUAAAGGGAGCGUAGGCGGGGAUGCAAGUUGGGUGUCAAAACUACCGGCUCAACUGGUAGUCGCACUCAAAACUGCCGCUCUUGAGUGAAGUAGCGGCAGGCGGGAUUCCUAGUGUAGCGGUGAAAUGCGUAGAUAUUAGGAGGAACACCAGUGGCGACGGCGGCCUGCUGGGCUUUUACUGACGCUGAGGCUCGACAGUGUGGGGAGCAAACAGGAUUAGAUACCCUUGUAGUC
rnacentral:rRNA from 1 species